rnacentral:rRNA from 1 species
GAUGAACGCUGGCGGCGUGCCUAACACAUGCAAGUCGAGCGAAGCGAUUUAACGGAAGUUUUCGGAUGGAAGUUAAAUUGACUGAGCGGGCGACGGGUGAGUACGCGUGUAGGACUGCUCAUACGAGGGGAUAACAGUUAGAAAUGACUGCUAAUACCGCAUAAGCGCACAGUGCUGCAUGGCACAGUGCGAAAAACUCCGGUGGUAUGAGAUGGACCCGCGUCUGAUUAGCUAGUUGGUGGGGUAACGGCCUACCAAGGCGACGAUCAGUAGCCGGCCUGAGAGGGUGAACGGCCACAUUGGGACUGAGACACGGCCAA